UACGGGGGGAGCAAGCGUUGUUCGGAUUUACUGGGCGUAAAGGGCGCGUAGGCGGUCAGCACAAGUCAGUUGUGAAAUCUCCGGGCUUAACUCGGAAAGGUCAACUGAUACUGUGCGACUAGAGUGCAGAAGGGGCAACUGGAAUUCUCGGUGUAGCGGUGAAAUGCGUAGAAAUCGAGAGGAACACCUGCGGCGAAGGCGGGUUGCUGGGCUGACACUGACGCUGAUGCGCGAAAGCCAGGGGAGCGAACGGG
rnacentral:rRNA from 1 species